rnacentral:rRNA from 1 species
UACGAAGGGGGCUAGCGUUGUCCGGAUUUACUGGGCGUAAAGCGUAUGCAGGCGGACCGUUAAGUAGGAAGUGAAAGGUUGGAGCUCAACUCUAACACUGCUCCCUAUACUGGCGGUCUUGAGUGGCGGAGAGGAAGAUGGAACGACACGUGUAGCGGUGAAAUGCGUUGAUAUGUGUCGGAACACCAAUGGCGAAAGCAAUCUUCUGGACGCAAACUGACGCUGAGAUACGAAAGCCAAGGUAGCAAACAGG